CUGGGGUUGGAGGAGAGAGGAGCUUGUUCAGCCCAGUCGGGAGUGGCAUGCUCUUCUUGGUUCAGCCCAAAGACACAGGCUUCUAAAGAGAGGUGGAUCUGGCUGAUCACUUCCUGUGAGCAGCCUGGGCGCCAGUUUGAUCCUGGAACUCGAGCCUGGAGGAACUCCCUCAGACAGCUUCCUUGAGACGGUCACAUGUUGAGUGGGGAAGAGGGUUCUUGGAGGAAAAGGUGAUGGCAGCCAUCUAGCACUGAGUGGGACCAGCAAAGCCCUGAAAUCUCUCCAAGAAUCCUGGAUAAAGCUGCUGCCUUAUGGUAAUAAAGUGAACCCAAGCUAGCUUCUUAAGAAUCCUGAAAGACAAUGUUUCUUUCUUCCUGGCUGCUUUCAAAACCUCAUUUAUGCCCUGAUGCUACCAAGGAAGAGACAGACCAGGGAACUGGCUGAGGGCUGUUCCCUCUUCUCCCCCAUCUCUUCUCCCCCAAACUUUUAAUUAUAGUGGUUUAUUCAGAUUCUUCUAGAGUGCAUUUAUCCUGGUUUGUUUCCUUUCUUGUUCCACCUCAAAAUAACUUUACAAUCAAACAAUAUUUAUUGAAAGACUUGUGAGUUCCCCUGUUAGGCACAGAAAGCCAAAUAAAAAAAGCUCAAGAUCUAAUUUCGGACCUUAAGGAAAUGAUCAUUAAGUCUCUUCCUAAGGGGACCCUGGCACUGGAUUCUAGGCAUUUGCCGAUGGAAGGGGUUUUAGGCAUUAUCUAAACUAAAGGCUUUGUUUCACAGUUGUCAUAACCGAGUCCUAGAGAAGUACAGGUACUCACUCAAGGUUAAGCAGUUAAUUAGAGGGAGAGCCAGAAUCCCAAUCCAGAGGUCCUACUAGAACACAGUCUCCUUAAGGAUCACAGCACAUUAUAAUUGGAAUAGGUUUUAGGAAUUAUUUGGCCUAUUUUACUAAUUGGGAACUGGUACCCAGGGGGGUAACUGAUAGGACCUGGCUUGUCAGUGGCACAGGUGAGUUUUAUACCUUGUUCCUCAGACUCCCAAAUCAGUGUUUUUUCUUUUAUAUUUCUCUUUGCCACUAUUUCCCAGGAAAAGUGUCUAAGAGGCAACUAGGUUGUUCAGUGGCAAGAGCACCAGACAAAGCAAUUAGACCCCAGUUUAUGCUCUGCCUUAGAUCCUUACUAGCUCUGUGACCCUGGGCAAGUCACUUAAUCUCUGCCCAACCUAGCUUCCUCAAAUAUAAAACAGGAAACCUACUUCCUCGAUUGUUUGAAGAUCGAAUCUGGAAAGUACUUGGCAUAGUGCCAGGCACAUAGAAAAUGCUUAAUAAAAGCUUGUCUUCUUUCAUUAAGUGCCUUCUAUGUACCAGUCAUUAAGUCUAUGCUAAGCAUGGAAGAUACAAAGAAAGGUAAAAAAUGAUCCCCAUCUCAAAUGAGUUUAUAAUCUAAAGAGAAAAAUAACAUAAACAACUAUAGG